CUUCGGGAAACCGGGGCUAAUACCGGAUAUGACAUUGCCGGGCAUCUGGUGGUGUGGAAAGAUUUAUAGGGAUUGACAUGCCGCGAAUCCUCUUGAAAGAGAGGGGUGCUUCGGGAACGCGGACACAGGUGG
rnacentral:rRNA from 1 species